UACGUAGGGUGCAAGCGUUAAUCGGAAAUACUGGGCGUAAAGCGCACGUAGGCGGCGCAGCAAGUCAGGGGUGAAAUCCCGGGGCUCAACCCCGGAACUGCCUCUGAAACUGCAGUGCUAGAAUCUUGGAGAGGCGAGUGGAAUUCCGAGUGUAGAGGUGAAAUUCGUAGAUAUUCGGAAGAACACCAGUGGCGAAGGCGACUCGCUGGACAAGUAUUGACGCUGAGGUGCGAAAGCGUGGGGAGCAAACAGG
rnacentral:rRNA from 1 species